rnacentral:rRNA from 1 species
AAAGAACCCCGGCGAGGGGAGUGAAAAAGAACCUGAAACCGUGUACGUACAAGCAGUGGGAGCACAGGUUUACCUGUGUGACUGCGUACCUUUUGUAUAAUGGGUCAGCGACUUAUAUUCUGUAGCAAGGUUAACCGUAUAGGGGAGCCGUAGGGAAACCGAGUCUUAACCGGGCGUUAAGUUGCAGGGUAUAGACCCGAAACCCGGUGAUCUAGCCAUGGGCAGGUUGAAGGUUGGGUAACACUAACUGGAGGACCGAACCGACUAAUGUUGAAAAAUUAGCGGAUGACCUGUGGCUGGGGGUGAAAGGCCAAUCAAACCGGGAGAUAGCUGGUUCUCCCCGAAAGCUAUUUAGGUAGCGCCUCGUGAAUUCAUCUCCGGGGGUAGAGCACUGUUUCGGCUAGGGGGCCAUCCCGGCUUACCAACCCGAUGCAAACUGCGAAUACCGGAGAAUGUUAUCACGGGAGACACACGGCGGGUGCUAACGUCCGUCGUGAAGAGGGAAACAACCCAGACCGCCAGCUAAGGUCCCAAAGUCAUGGUUAAGUGGGAAACGAUGUGGGAAGGCCCAGACAGCCAGGAUGUUGGCUUAGAAGCAGCCAUCAUUUAAAGAAAGCGUAAUAGCUCACUGGUCGAGUCGGCCUGCGCGGAAGAUGUAACGGGGCUAAACCAU